rnacentral:lncRNA from 1 species
AUAACAAUAUUCCCAACGUACAUCGCUCACGACAACUGAACUCUCCUCGUCACGUGCAGAUCCACGAGAGCAAAACAUUAUUUUCUGUCCCCGUGCUGCAAAUCAGCAAAAACAGGAGGUGACGCCUCCUACAGGCUUUAAGGCGUGGCAGAUGAGGCGACACGGUGAUGGCCUCUUAUUUCUUCACAGGGUGGUCCAUCAGGCUGCAACUUUCUUGGCGGUCACUGAGUUGAUAAUGGUGGCGAAGUCCGGGGCCUGCCAAAACCAAGGGAUGUAUCAAAACUUCGACAGCUUCUUGAAGGUUUUAUAACCUAUAUAUGCUGCGUACGGAGUGGAGAGAUCAAAUAACAUAGCCCUAUUUAACAACACUGAGAACAGAGGCAGAAAGACAUCGCAGGUGGAUGGAUGGUUUUAAAAGCCACUGCUGAUCAGAGAUCAGUAUACAUAGUCAUGUUAAACACCAUGAGAUUUGGAAAUGCAUAAUGGAAGUUGCAAGAUGAGCUUUAAGAGCUACAGGCAGCAGCUACUGACAAUAGAAGGUACAGGACAAAGGAGAUUAUGUACAAAGAUUUGAGGUUAAUUUGCCAUACCUUCAAGGAGGCACCACCAACAAGAAAACCAUCGAUAUCCUCUUUCUUUGCUAGCUCUGCACAGUUGGCUGCAUUCACAGAACCUGCAACACAGAGCAAAUGAAGAUGGUCACAUCACAGGGCCAUCAAGCCAUGUUAAACACGUUAUCCUCAUAGUAAUUUAGCAAACUGCAAACCACGGUUCCAAGUUCAAUCUUUCCAUUUUCAAAUUUAAUGGAAAAAGAAACACGCGAAACACGUUAUCCUGACAGCUUAUGUGAAACGAGAAACCAACCUCCAUAGAUUAUUCGGGUGCUAGAGGCAACAUCAGGUGAUAUGUUGGUCGUCAACCAAUCGCGUACAGCAGCAUGAACUUCCUGGGCUUGCUCAGGAGUAGCAACUUUUCCGGUUCCAAUAGCCCAAACAGGCUCAUAUGCAAUCACAACAUCG